rnacentral:rRNA from 1 species
CCUACGGGAGGCUGCAGUGGGGAAUAUUGGACAAUGGGCGAAAGCCUGAUCCAGCCAUGCCGCGUGUGUGAAGAAGGCCUUCGGGUUGUAAAGCACUUUCAGUGGGGAAGAAAGCCUUGGGGCUAAUACCCUCGAGGAAGGACAUCACCCACAGAAGAAGCACCGGCUAACUCCGUGCCAGCAGCCGCGGUAAUACGGAGGGUGCGAGCGUUAAUCGGAAUUACUGGGCGUAAAGCGCGCGUAGGCGGUCUGAUAAGCCGGUUGUGAAAGCCCCGGGCUCAACCUGGGAACGGCAUCCGGAACUGUCAGGCUAGAGUGCAGGAGAGGAAGGUAGAAUUCCCGGUGUAGCGGUGAAAUGCGUAGAGAUCGGGAGGAAUACCAGUGGCGAAGGCGGCCUUCUGGACUGACACUGACGCCGAGGUGCGAAAGCGUGGGUAGCAAACAGGAUUAGAUACCCGUGUAGUC